UACAGAGGUCUCAAGCGUUGUUCGGAUUCAUUGGGCGUAAAGGGUGCGUAGGCGGCGCGGUAAGUCGGGUGUGAAAUCUCGGAGCUUAACUCCGAAACUGCAUUCGAUACUGCCGUGCUUGAGGACUGGAGAGGAGACUGGAAUUUACGGUGUAGCGGUGAAAUGCGUAGAUAUCGUAAGGAAGACCAGUGGCGAAGGCGGGUCUCUGGACAGUCCGUGACGCUGGAGGCACGACAGCGUGGGGAGCAAACAGG
rnacentral:rRNA from 1 species